ACAAAAUUCGGACCGUCGGUCUACCGAGGAAAAUCACUAACUCGGUGGAAGAAUUUCCCGUCGUCGA
rnacentral:pre_miRNA from 1 species